UACGUAGGGGGCAAGCGUUGUCCGGAUUCAUUGGGCGUAAAGAGCGUGUAGGCGGCCAGGUAGGUCGGUUGUGAAAACUGGAGGCUCAACCUUCAGAGGUCGACCGAAACCAUCUGGCUAGAGUCCGGGAGAGGAGAGUGGAAUUCCGCGUGUAGCAGUGAAAUGCGUAGAGAUGCGGAGGAACACCGAUGGCGAAGGCAGCCCCCUGGGCUAACACUGACGCUCAGGCACGAAAGCGUGGGGAGCAAACAGG
rnacentral:rRNA from 1 species